rnacentral:lncRNA from 1 species
CCAGAAGUUCAUGAAAAAACAAUCAAGGAAACAGAUGUAAUGAGUAGAGAUACUAUAGCAUGUCCAGUCUUAUAAGAAACCAGAAUCUUGAUUCCAAUAGGACAUGAGAGCACAAGUCUGGGGGGGUAUCAAAUAAGUAACCAGAGUUAACAUUUAUAUGAAAAAAGCAUGUAAUUAUGCACUUACUAUGUGUAAAGCACUAUUCUAAUGCUGGGGAUAUAAAUGGAAAAGUUAGCUAUUCCCUACUCCUAAGGAACUCAUAUUCUAUUGGAAGAUAUGGAUGGUUUCAUCUGAAAGUCAAAAGGAAAAGUCUCAGGGUCCUUACAAUGCCAAGUCAAAAUAAAAGAGCUCUUGAUGAAAAAAGUGGAGAAGGAGGAGGAAAAAGAGAAAGAGGAAGAAUGAAAAAAAAAAGAAGAGAAGAAGAAGAAUGUAGGUUGUUACGUAACUUGAAUAUGAAAAGAGAAGGUUUCAGAGUUCAGGGAAAGGGUAGACAGAAUCCAAUGGUUUAACUACCUGCAAGGGCAGUUGACCCAUGAUUUCAAGAAUUAUAUUUCUAAUGAAAUCCACACAAACAAUUUUGACAGUGAAGGAGGAAAAGAACUGUCUAAAGGACCAAUGUGGCUGAACAGAAAAAGACUUAACCAAUUUUCAUAUAU